rnacentral:rRNA from 1 species
CCUACGGGGGACUGCAGUCGAGAAUCAUUCACAAUGGGGGAAACCCUGAUGGUGCGACGCCGCGUGGGGGAAUGAAGGUCUUCGGAUUGUAAACCCCUGUCAUGUGGGAGCAAAUUAACAAGAUAGUACCACAAGAGGAAGAGACGGCUAACUCUGUGCCAGCAGCCGCGGUAAUACAGAGGUCUCAAGCGUUGUUCGGAAUCACUGUGCGUAAGGCGUGCGUAGGCUGUUUCGUAAGUCGUGUGUGAAAGGCGCGGGCUCAACCCGCGGACGGCACAUGAUACUGCGAGACUAGAGUAAUGGAGGGGUAACCGGAAUUCUCGGUGUAGCAGUGAAAUGCGUAGAUAUCGAGAGGAACACUCGUGGCGAAGGCGGGUUCCUGGACAUUAACUGACGCUGAGGCACGAAGGCCAGGGGAGCGAAAGGGAUUAGAUACCCUUGUAGUC